GACCGCGUAGCUCAGUUGGCAGAGCAUUGGGCUAGUAUUCCAAAGGUCGUAGGUUCGAUUCCCGCCGUAGUCA
rnacentral:tRNA from 1 species